rnacentral:rRNA from 1 species
UACGGAGGGUGCAAGCGUUGUCCGGAUUUAUUGGGUUUAAAGGGUGCGUAGGCGGGUUUUAAGUCAGUGGUGAAAUCCAGCAGCUUAACUGUUGAACUGCCAUUGAUACUGCUUUACUUGAGUAUAGUCUAGGUAGGCGGAAUUCCACAUGUAGUGGUGAAAUGCAUAGAUAUGUGGAGGAACGCCGAUAACGAAGGUAGCUUACUGGGCUAUUACUGACGCUGAGGUACGAAAGCGUGGGGAGCGAACGGG